GAUGAACGCUGGCGGCGUGCCUAAUACAUGCAAGUCGAGCGAACAGACGAGGAGCUUGCUCCUCUGACGUUAGCGGCGGACGGGUGAGUAACACGUGGAUAACCUACCUAUAAGACUGGGAUAACUUCGGGAAACCGGAGCUAAUACCGGAUAAUAUAUUGAACCGCAUGGUUCAAUAGUGAAAGACGGUUUUGCUGUCACUUAUAGAUGGAUCCGCGCCGCAUUAGCUAGUUGGUAAGGUAACGGCUUACCAAGGCAACGAUGCGUAGCCGACCUGAGAGGGGGAUCAGCCACACUGCAGCUGAGACACGGUGCACAAGACUACGGGAGGCAGCAGUAGGGAAUCUUCCGCAAUGGGCGAAAGCCUGACGGAGCAACGCCGCGUGAGUGAUGAAGGUCUUCGGAUCGUAAAACUCUGUUAUUAGGGAAGAACAAAUGUGUAAGUAACUAUGCACGUCUUGACGGUACCUAAUCAGAAAGCCACGGCUAACUACGUG
rnacentral:rRNA from 1 species